GACGAACGCUGGCGGCGUGCUUAACACAUGCAAGUCGAACGGAAAGGCCCUGCUUUUGUGGGGUGCUCGAGUGGUGAACGGGUGAGUAACACUUGGGUAACCUGCCCUUGACUUUGGGAUAACUUCAUGAAACUGGGGCUAAUACCGGAUAGGAGCUCCUGCUUCUUGGUGGGGGUGGGAAAGUUUCGGCGGUUGGGGAUGGACUCGCGGCUUAUCAGCUUGUUGGUUGGGUAGUGGCUGACCAAGACAUUGCCCGGUAGCCGUGCUGGGCGGGUGAGCGGACACAUUGGGAUUGAGAUACGGCACAGACUACACCGGGACGCAGCGGAGCAGAAGAUAGUACAAUGGGAGGAAGCAUGAUGUAGUAACGCCACGUGCGGGAUGACGGCAUGGGGGUAGGAAAGUGCUGUCGUUUGUGACGAAGUGUUAGUGACGGUAAUGGGUAAAGAAGCACCGGCUAACUACGUG
rnacentral:rRNA from 1 species